GAGCGCCCUGUUAUUUGCUAUGAACAAGUCACCAUUUUAAGGAAGAUGUAGUUAUUUUGCUGACAGUUAAAAGCUAUACAGAAAGAGGAAAAAAAGAUACGCAGAACACAGAAGAGGAAAUCAUACGAACACUAUAAAUCUUCGUCAAGAAAUGUGUAUUUAUUGUGAUUGUUCUACGGAUCGGACGAUAAACAAUUGUUGAACCUAACCUCGGACAUGUUCUUGGACAAUAUCAGUCUUUUAUAAUUACAUAGAAAUAGAAUGCACUAUUCACAAAAUUAUUACUGGCGAUUUAUCAAAUGAUUUACCCUGAGAAGUCAUCAAUACAACGGAGUGAUCAUGUCUAAGAAAAUAUCAAAUCUUGCAACCGUCGAGCUUGCGGAGAGCGUGAAUUCUGUUAAGACUCCAGUAAGGUGCAGACGGAAAGAUUUGUUCGUAAACGAGGACCGGUCAUAUCAUCGCAGAAUUUACACGAAAAAUCACAAUCUGUGAACAGUUGUACAGUCUGCCAACUUAAAGCAAACAGUCAUAGUCAAACCAGAACCUAUUUAUGGAAGUAAUGAAGGUGGAAAGCAAGAAUUCUAGAACGCAGUCCCACCCGUUGUGGGGAUGAAAAGGAAAGUAUCUGAAGUAGACGGAGGUCAAUUUGAAAUGCACACUUCUAAGGACCCAGGCAAAAAGAAGCGUUUUAGAAACGAUCAAGAUUCUGACAUCGCAUCGAAUGUGGAAGCCGGCGAAGAGCUUAUCUUCUAAGCCAACUUCAGUAUUUGGAAACUUGCCUAUAAAAUCCGAACUAAUCCUAGAAAACAACGAAGAACGUGAAGAAACAAUCGAAACACCUGCGAAUGGGUGUCUCAAAAUCUUCAAGAUCGCAAAUCUCUGUAUAAACUUACAAGAUAAUACCAAGCCAAGAAUGAUGAUACUGGACCAACAAUAUACGUAGGCAUGUGCGUAGGACACAGCAUUAGCAAGAACCUUCAUUGGCUUAAAACAAGUCUUGUCUACCAUGUGACGAAAACUGCAGUGCAUGAAGCUAUUUGACCGUGCACCAAGUAAAUAUGGAAAGGGAAAAUCUUGAAUUCAUUACUUAGGGGGAAAAAUGAUGAAUUAGACAACUUUUUUCAACCGAAGAAUAUUCCAGUGAAAAAUUCAAUGCAAUGUAAAAACUGGAAUCAGAAAGUCAUGCAACAGGCUAUUACAGAAGGUUUAAGAAUGACGAUACUCGACACAAAACGAGAAAAACAUUUCGAAAAAGUUAAACACCAUUCACCUGAUAGGCAUACUAAACCCUCCAUGAUAGAUGAAGAGUCUGAAAGUUCCGGUUCAGAUGAUACUGGAAAAAGAAUUACUUUUAAAAAGGAACUAGGGAAACUAGUGCGCGCCAAAAAAAUGGGAUGCACUAGAGCAGCACGGGUUUUCCAAAUUCCAAAGAAUACGCUUUUAAAGUACCUCAACGAGGAAAUUACCACAGAAUAAAUUAUUAUACCAUGUCCAUCAAGGGGCCGGAAGAAAGCGUUCACUAUGGUACAGGAAGAAUAUUUGGAAAAAUACUUACUCUAUGUACAGGAAAGAUAUUUCGGAUUAACAAAAGAAAUAAAAAGUAUUAUACUUCAAUUUACAAAGUUGGAAGGCAUUGCAAGUCCUUUUGGUCCUGCUGGACAACCUGGUUUCACUUGGAUUAAGGCCUUUCUAAGACGACAUGCUUCAAUAGUACCUCAAAAUCCCCGAGAGACAAGAAAGAAUAGUUCUGUGUCAAAAUUCUUUAAUUUGAUAAAACGCGAAGUGAAAACAAAUCAUUAUUCAGCAAAUAUGAUUUUCAACGUGGACGAAACUGCCUUUUCUAUAGUUCACUCCAAAAAUCACCAAUUUUGACUCAUGAAACGACAGGAACAGGUUAUGCGUGCGAAAAAAGACUCUUACUUGACAGUAAUUACGUGCAUGGGUGGCGCGGGGAAGUUUGUGACGCCAAUGUUCAUUUUUCCGCGACACAAGGAAACAGGUGAUUUAAUGAGAGGAGCGCCACCUGGAUCAGUCGCGACAUGUCAUCCUUCAGGCUUGGUGCAAUUCGAAUUGUUCACCCAGUGGUUUCGCCACUUCCUUAAUGUGACUAAACCAACGAAAGAGAAUCCGGCACUUCUAAUCCUUGAUGGUCAAUAGAAUCACACAAAAAAUGUUGAAGUAAUACAACUCUCCCAAGAGAAUCACGUUUCCAUCAUCAGUCUUCCACCGCUGACUCUCAACAAGCUCCAGCCAGUUUGCAAGUCCUUCAUGGAUCCGCUCAAAACUUUCUAUAGGGAGGAAGUGCGGAAAUGGAUGAAUCAGAACCUUCGGCCUUUAAGUUUGGAUAUUGUCGUUGAACUUUUCGGCAAAGCUUAUUUGCAAGUUUUAGACCUCAACAUCGGUGUCCAAGGAUUUCGGGACACGGGAAUCAUCCCCCUCAACUCAGGCAUGGUCUCUGAAGAUUUUCCAGAUAUAGGAUAUGAGGAUUUAGAAGGAACCAAGGUAGACCAGUUUCUCGCUCAUAUGAUGGUCCACCUCUCAGCUCCAGAUGAACUGAAAUCUGUGAAGUUGAAAUUGAAACCUUCGACACCUGAGACUUCUUCUGAUACUCAAGACUAUCCUUCUCUUCGAGAGAUUUCAAGACAUCAUUUAUCAGAGGAUUCUUCUGAAGAAGAUGAAGACUCAGAUACGGAAUCUGCAGUCAAGCAUGUGAAGUCAGAGAUCGUGAUGGAAUGUAUGUUUUGUAGGCAGCCUCAAUCGGUAGACGCUUGGGAUGAAAGGUGGGUACAGUGCAAGUCAUGCGAUCUGUGGUCUCACGACAAAUGUGCUGGUUAUGACGAAGGCGAAUACAUUUGCGAUUACUGCAAGCUGCAUAAAUGAGUCAAGAGUGGUUUCAUUGUAUUUAUGGAGGGAAUAGAUUGUAUGGUUAUGAAGCAUUUACAUUCCUGUUUGACUAGCGUUAGAAUGGGUCGUGCAAUUUAACGGUGAAUUAAGCUUUAUUCAUUUUAUUUUUGUUUUACGAAGUAAAAAAAAGACGCAUUUUAUUUGCUUUAAUAAAAACACUUUUCAAAGUCUGCAUCCAUUAUGUAGAUCAGAUAAAAUGUUUGAAAAUUUAAAGGUAAAUUUCUAAAAAGGAAACAAUUUAAAAACUGUUUUGAAUAUUCCUUCUCUGCAAAUAAGGUAAAGUAUCGAGUCUUACUGACUGUGACAAUAGGAAAUUUCGUCCAGUUUUGUGGUGCAUAAUUUUUUAUCGGUGGUGUAUUUUAGCGCAUUUGAGACACAAUUCAAUGGGCUAUAGAAAACCCAAACAUUAAGAGUGGGUGGGCUGGUGUAACUCACCUCACAAACUACCGUCAUGUCGAUUUGGCUUAAACUUGCUAAUUCUGUAGGUUAUACAAAAUUACCAAUUGAAGCUAAAUAGACGUCAUGUCGAUUUGGCUUAAACUUGCUAAUUCUGUAGGUUAUACAAAAUUACCAAUUGAAGCUAAAUAGACGGGAAGACGUUCAUCUUUAAUAAGCAUUUUCAGUUUUUUUUUUCAGCAAAGCGCGAACCCCGCAUUUUCUUUCCCUCUGAAAUAUAAAAUUGAAUCUUGUGCUGGAAAAAUUCUCGAUACUAUUGGAAAUUGUCUAGGAAGAUUACGAAUAAUUAUAAAACUAUAGGAAGAAUUGUAUUCAAGAUUAUAAAUAAAUUUGUUUUAUAUU